AUAUAUAUAUAUAUAUAUAUAUAUUGUUUUGGAAAUUGAUAUUGAUAUUGAUAUUUCAGUGUUGUUAUUUGCUUGCUUGCUUGAAUGCUUGAAUGAUUAUGAAAUUAAGUAACUGCAAUACUUCCUUUGUUCGUUAUAAGAUAAGAUGACUAAACAACAGCUGGGAAAGUUAGGUUUUUAAGUUUUCAAGUGGAGGUGAGCCAGACGAAGACUUCAGUGAAGAGGAGGAAGAGUGCUAGAAGAAGACAACAGCGUAAGCGAAGAGGAAGGACAUCCGGUUUUGUAAGCACAAGAUACAGAGACUGAUACGCCUACAACAGGAAGAUUGGAUCAUACAAGGCAUUGAUCAAUUGAUGAGUUAUAUGAAGCUGGAAUUUCCCAAAAAGUAGUAUAAAAGACUGAGGAGUAAAAGGCCUCGCUAGAUGCUGCCUGCAUUAAGCGUAGAAGGACACCUGAUACCCUAACGAAGGGCACAGCAUCUCCAGUAUUGCUGGAUGAAGCUAGAUUAUAGAGCUUUUUAGCUGAAGCUGAUUUAAGUUUUAUUUUGUUUUAUUUUGCAUUAACUGCUUUGUAUUGUAACCAAUAAAAGAGAUAUUUUAUUGUUACGAUUGCCUUCCGUGAGACUUUACUUAUAACUACGAACUGAGGCUCAAUAAAGAACAACCACAAGAUAGUCUUCUACGUCAUUCCUAAAGGACUUCAACCUGCGGGCGGUUCGGCACGGAUGUUGAGCUGCUGUUUGCUCUUUCCAGCUGGUCGAGAUGGGGUCGGGGCGUUCGAGUCUUCACUCACAGCCCCCGGUUUGGAUGGGGUCUCUGUGGUUGGUGCAGCGGUGACCUCUGGACUCGGUCCUCUGCGAACCGAUGAGGCAACAACGCCAUUUUCUUCCGCACUAUAAAUGGACACAAAAGCAAAUAUCACCUCAGAAUUUCUAGGAUGGUUUGUUGAGUAUUAUUCUUGAUCUUAAAGUCCACCUCAUUCUGUUCAUUUGAUGCAAACAAAAACAAGGCUGAGAUGUACAAUCCA